CAAAACAAUGAUAAACCCGGGAACAAAAAUACGAUGUCCAUAUGAUGAUUCACUUGCAUUACAAUCUUCUAGAGUUUUUGGAGCUUCCCUUUUUAUGUUCAUCUUCUAGGAAGCGUAGCCAUUCUGGGCAGAACUUGAAUCGAUAGAGAGUCUCUUUUUUGGUGAUUCAUCAUCAGCUUGCUGAUCAUCAACUUGGAAAUCCGAUUUCCUUUUAGAAUAACGGGUGUUUGAAACAUUAAUACCUGAAGAUUCUGCAGAGGUAUCAUAAACUGCAGACUCAAGGAAAUAACGAUCCUCUAAUAUAGGUUGCUUUGGCUGCUCGCAACUGUCUUCAAUAUUUAGCUCAGCAGGGGCUAUAGAAUCAAGAACAGUACGUUGUCCAACUUUUUCUGAUAAUUCAGUAUCGUUUUCAAUAGAAAAAUCUUGCUGUAUUUCCCAAUCUUUGGAUACGUCGUCUCCAACACGUUGGUUAUUAUUGGAGGCACCGUCAAAUUCAUAACUAUUUGAUUCAU